rfam:Burkholderia phymatum STM815 chromosome 2, complete sequence.
UUGAGCCGUUUGCGGUGAAAGUCGCUUGGGCGGUUCUUUGGGGAGGGGGCGGCAGCAAUGCCGUCUCCUUACCCGCU